AUUGAACGCUGGCGGCAUGCCUUACACAUGCAAGUCGAACGGUAACAGGUCUUCGGAUGCUGACGAGUGGCGAACGGGUGGGUAAUACAUCGGAACGUGCCCGAGAGUGGGGGAUAACGAGGCGAAAGCUUUGCUAAUACCGCAUACGAUCUCAGGAUGAAAGCAGGGGACCGCAAGGCCUUGCGCUCACGGAGCGGCCGAUGGCAGAUUAGGUAGUUGGUGGGAUAAAAGCUUACCAAGCCGACGAUCUGUAGCUGGUCUGAGAGGACGACCAGCCACAAUGGGACUGAGACACGGCCCAGACUCCUACGGGAGGCAGCAGUGGGGAAUUUUGGACAAUGGGCGCAAGCCUGAUCCAGCCAUGCCGCGUGCAGGAUGAAGGCCUUCGGGUUGUAAACUGCUUUUGUACGGAACGAAAAGACUCUGGUUAAUACCUGGGGUCCAUGACGGUACCGUAAGAAUAAGCACCGGCUAACUACGUGCCAGCCGCCGCAGUAAUAC
rnacentral:rRNA from 1 species